GAUGAAGAACGUAGCGAAAUGCGAUACGUAAUGUGAAUUGCAGAAUUCAGUGAAUCAUCGAAUCUUUGAACGCAUAUUGCGCUCUCUGGUAUUCCGGAGAGCAUGCUUGUUUGAGUAUCAGUAAACACCUCAACUUCCAUAUCUUUUUUGAAAUUGGAGUCGGACUUGAGUGAUCCCAACGCUUUUCCUCACCGAAAAGUGGCGGGUUACUUGAAAUGCAGGUGCAGCUGGACUUUUCUCUGAGCUAUAAGCAUAUCUAUUUAGUCUGCCUAAAAAACAGAUUAUUACCUUUGCUGCAGCUAACAUAAAGGAGAUUAGUUCUUGUGCUGACUGAUGCAGGAUUCACAAAGACAGGCUUCGGCCGACUUUGUAAACUCGAUCUCAAAUCAAGUAAGACUACCCGCUGAACUUAAGCAUAUCAAUAAGCGGAGGA
rnacentral:misc_RNA from 1 species